AGAAAAGAGAUCUCCCACAGCCAUGGAAGUGGAGCUUUUGGCCAGAGGCUCUGUGUUCUGGAGGAGAUGCUACCCGCAGAAGAAGGAUUCUGCAUAUCCCAGAGGACUCUGCCUAAGUCCAAAGAACUCUCCAGAGCAGUGAGGAAUCUGAGGCAGGGGAAAACGAACAGUCUCUGGUUCGGCUUUCUGGAAGAGUACAACCAGGCAGCACUAAACUGUCAACGUGUCUGGACCAAGCCUCGCACGGGGAAGCCCUGAUCUCAGGCAGAACAUUCAACAGCUUUCCCAGGGUAGCACCCACCCCGGAGAAAACCCUGCCUGCUACCAUUACCACCAUGCAAUUCAUCUCCCACUGCAAAGCAGCAAGGACCCUCGGCCGGGUAACAUGGUACCCCCAUUGGACACCAAAAUCACCAAAUCGUGCCAUUGGGAGCAUUGGGCUGCUCUGAGCCCUCCCUUUUGGGGAAAGCAUGAGCCAAGGGGGACCAAUGCAGCUGCUAGCAAGAAGGUCCAGGUAAGAAGCAGCAAAAGAACUUUCUCUUGGGAGAGAAAGGAAGCAAUUCCUCUUUUGAAAAGCUCAAUCCUCCUGGUGCACAGGGCGAGAGGUCCCAGAUUUCUGAUUGUUUUCAUCUAUUUGCAAAUCAGGAGCCACUAAAGGCAGCCACCAGCCAAAGCUGGGAAAUUGGAACCUGGCUUUUUAUUUAUUUAUUUUGGAAAUGCAUAUUUUUGAUUCUAGCCUGUUCCAGCUAAGAAGAAUGUCCCCUGCCUGCUGAACCUCAUUAUCAUGGAAAAGCGUCUUCCCAAACAGCAGAAGUAGCUGGCAUAACUAUCUCUUCCCAGAACCUGAUUGUGCUUAUAAUUCACUCUGGCUACCACCGUGGCAGUUUCUACUGAAGUCUGGGAGGUGUAGAUCAGCAAAGAGAACUCUCUGCCUGUGUAUUAAUCCCCUUGAUAUUUACAUCUGGUUGUAUUUUCAGCUGGCCCAUAUUCUUAGUCAGUAGGAUAAUGUACAAAAAAAAUAACCCUUUCACUGGUCUCAAGGUAUUGGCUAAUGCCAAUUGGCUCUAACUAAUGGGGCUAGGAAGAAGCUUCCUCCAUGGGCAGGUUAUUCCAUCGCUGACCACUAGGAGUUUCUUGCACCCUUCUAGGUUCAUAAAGUUUAAGUCUAGAAGGGACAAUUAGAUCAUCUAGUCUGAUCUGCUUGUCACAGGUCAUUAAAUUUCAGGCAAUUACUCCUCCUUCUGAAACAUCUCAUUCUUGUCACCAUCAGAAAACAGGAUGCUGAGCUAGAAGGACCAUUGGUCUGAUCUGUCCUGGCAAUUCAUAUGUUUCUAUGGAGGCAUAGCCUAAGAUCUGGUUAAGCAAGUGGAUUAAUUUUUGCUGGAAAUUAGUAAAAAUAUUUAACAUUU